rnacentral:rRNA from 1 species
CGCUCUUUGUCAGUUGUAAAUAAAGAGUCGUGCCUGCCCAGUGAAGUGUUUAAACGGCCGCAGUACCCUGACUGUGCAAAGGUAGCAUAAUCAUUUGCCUUUUAAUUGGAGGCUGGAAUGAAUGGCUUGACGAAAUUCUACUGUCUUUUUUUUAUUAUCUAGAAUUUAAUUUUUAGGUGAAGAAGCCUAAAUUGAGCUAAAAGACGAAAAGACCCUGUCGAACUUGAAAGUAAUUUGUAAUUUUUGUUUAUAGGAUAAAAAUUUUUAAAGUAAUUUUUUGCUGGGGCGGCAGAAGAACAAGUGUAGCUUCUUUAGGUUUAUAAAAUUUUUAGAUUAAAGGGAUCCAUAGAUUUUUAUGAAGAAAGAAAAGUUACCGCAGGGAUAACAGCGUUAUUUUUCUGGAGAGUUCUAAUUGAAGGAAAAGAUUGCGACCUCGAUGUUGGAUUAGAAUACCUAAUGGGUGAAGAAGCUUAUUGAUGGAGGUCUGUUCGACCUUUAAAUUUCUACA